GUGUGAUGUGUGCAUGUGAUAAUGAAAAUAAAGCGCGGGGAGGUUUGUUACAGCGUUAGUGCGUCUGAGGAGAGAAGUGUGGUGUGUGCAUGUGAUAAUGAAAGUAGAGCGCGGGGAGGUUUGUUACAGCGUUAGUGCGUCUGAGGAGAGAAGUGUGGUGUGUGCAUGUGAUAAUGAAAAUAAAGCGCGGGGAGGUUUGUUACAGCGUUAGUGCGUCUGAGAAGAGAAGUGUGGUGUGUGCAUGUGAUAAUGAAAGUAGAGCGCAGGUAUCUGGGGCUGCCACUGGUUAAUGGGUCAUGGAGAGAGGAGCUGACAAGAGAGGUCGAGAGGGCACCGCUCUCCGCAGUGUGUGUGUCCCAGAGGACCAGGCUAACGCACCGCCACCGCUGAAGGUGACACGUGCAUGUAAAUGUGCUUCAAGCCCCUCACACACACACACAGAGAGAGAGAGAGACAUGCACACAUUCACACACU
ensembl:lncRNA